CGGAAGAUGGGAGCUUGCUCCCUGAUGUUAGCGGCGGACGGGUGAGUAACACGUGGGUAACCUGCCUGUAAGACUGGGAUAACUCCGGGAAACCGGGGCUAAUACCGGAUGCUUGUUUGAACCGCAUGGUUCAAACAUAAAAGGUGGCUUCGGCUACCACUUACAGAUGGACCCGCGGCGCAUUAGCUAGUUGGUGAGGUAACGGCUCACCAAGGCAACGAUGCGUAGCCGACCUGAGAGGGUGAUCGGCCACACUGGGACUGAGACACGGCCCAGACUCCUACGGGAGGCAGCAGUAGGGAAUCUUCCGCAAUGGACGAAAGUCUGACGGAGCAACGCCGCGUGAGUGAUGAAGGUUUUCGGAUCGUAAAGCUCUGUUGUUAGGGAAGAACAAGUACCGUUCGAAUAGGGCGGUACCUUGACGGUACCUAACCAGAAAGCCACGGCUAACUACGUGCCAGCAGCCGCGGUAAUACGUAGGUGGCAAGCGUUGUCCGGAAUUAUUGGGCGUAAAGGGCUCGCAGGCGGUUCCUUAAGUCUGAUGUGAAAGCCCCCGGCUCAACCGGGGAGGGUCAUUGGAAACUGGGGAACUUGAGUGCAGAAGAGGAGAGUGGAAUUCCACGU
rnacentral:rRNA from 1 species